CCUACGGGAGGCAGCAGUGGGGAAUAUUGGACAAUGGGGGGAACCCUGAUCCAGCCAUGCCGCGUGUGUGAAGAAGGCCCUCGGGUUGUAAAGCACUUUCAGUGAGGAAGAACGCCUGGUGGUUAAUACCCAUCAGGAAAGACAUCACUCACAGAAGAAGCACCGGCUAACUCCGUGCCAGCAGCCGCGGUAAUACGGAGGGUGCGAGCGUUAAUCGGAAUUACUGGGCGUAAAGCGCGCGUAGGUGGCUUGAUAAGCCGGUUGUGAAAGCCCCGGGCUCAACCUGGGAACGGCGUCCGGAACUGUCAAGCUAGAGUGCAGGAGAGGAAGGUAGAAUUCCCGGUGUAGCGGUGAAAUGCGUAGAGAUCGGGAGGAAUACCAGUGGCGAAGGCGGCCUUCUGGACUGACACUGACACUGAGGUGCGAAAGCGUGGGUAGCAAACAGGAUUAGAUACCCGGGUAGUC
rnacentral:rRNA from 1 species